rnacentral:lncRNA from 1 species
GAGCUCUGUGCACAGGUGGUAAGGGAAGACAUGAAGGGUUGUAUGCAGAUUUGGGCAGGGCACAAAGAUGAAAGCUGACUUCUAGGAUUCUCUUGCCUGGUGGAGGCCCAAACCUCAUCAUGCAACUCCAGUUCCAUGGUAUCUGAUGCCCUCUUCUGAACUCCAUGGGCACCAGGCAUAUAUGUGGUACACAUACAUGUGGACAAACACUCAUACACAAAAAACAAAAAAAUUAAUACUUAAAAAAGGGGGAGUGAAUGAAAGAAGAAAGAAUAACAAAGAGUGAAUGGACUGAAGAUAGAAGAUAGACUGAUGGAUAAAAAAUGGAGAGUUACAGUUAAGAGAUUGCCUUGCCAGGCAGGCCAAGACUCAGGAAGGGAAAACAAGAAGAUGAACGUGUAAGCAGGAGGAGCCAUUGGCCUCAUGGGAAAAGAAGGGGAAGAAUACAAAGAUGGAACCAAGAG